GACGAACGCUGGCGGCGUGCUUAACACAUGCAAGUCGAACGGAAAGGCCUGCUUUCCCUUGUGGAUUGCGGGUACUCGAGUGGCGAACGGGUGAGUAACACGUGAGUGAUCUGCCCCCAACUUGGGUAUAAGCCUGGGAAACUGGGUCUAAUUCCCGAUAGGACUGCAGGGUGGUGCCUGUGGUGGAAAACGAUUUUCUAGUGGUUGGGGAUGAGCUCGCGGCCUAUCAGCUUGUUGGUGGGGUAAUGGCCUACCAAGGCGGCGACGGGUAGCCGGCCUGAGAGGGUGGACGGCCACAUUGGGACUGAGAUACGGCCCAGACUCCUACGGGAGGCAGCAGUGGGGGAAAUUGCACAAUGGGCGGAAGCCUGAUACAGCGACGCCGCGUGGGGGAUGACGGCCUUCGGGUUGUAAACUCCUUUCGACCGAGAGGAAGCCACCUGGUUGGAAGGGUGGUGACGGUAGUGGUAGAAGAAGCACCGGCUAACUACGUG
rnacentral:rRNA from 1 species